rnacentral:rRNA from 1 species
AGGGGCAGCGGGAAGGUUAGCUUGCUAACCUUUGCUGGCGACCGGCGCACGGGUGAGUAACACGUAUGCAACCUGUCCGGUACAGGGGGAUAAGCGGCGGAAACGCCGUCUAAUACCGCGUGACAACCCGAGGGGGCAUCCCCUUGGGUUCAAAGGAGAGAUCCGGUACCGGCUGGGCAUGCGGCGCAUUAGCUAGUUGGCGGGGCAACGGCCCACCAAGGCGACGAUGCGUAGGGGUUCUGAGAGGAAGGUCCCCCACACUGGAACUGAGACACGGUCCAGACUCCUACGGGAGGCAGCAGUGAGGAAUAUUGGUCAAUGGGCGCAAGCCUGAACCAGCCAAGUCGCGUGAGGGAAGACGGCUCUACGGGUUGUAAACCUCUUUUGCCGGGGAGCAAGCCUGAGCACGUGUGCCCAGGCGGAGAGUACCCGGAGAAAAAGCAUCGGCUAACUCCGUGCCAGCAGCCGCGGUAAUACGGAGGAUGCGAGCGUUAUCCGGAUUUAUUGGGUUUAAAGGGUGCGCAGGCGGGCUGUUAAGCCGGCGGUAAAAAUUCAGGGCUCAACCCCGUCGAGCCGUCGGAACUGGCAGUCUUGAGUGGGCGAGAAGUAUGCGGAAUGCGUGGUGUAGCGGUGAAAUGCAUAGAUAUCACAAAGAACGCCAAUUGCGAAGGCAGCAUACCGGCGCCCAACUGACGCUGAGGCACGA